rnacentral:rRNA from 1 species
UAGGGAAUCUUCGGCAAUGGACGAAAGUCUGACCGAGCAACGCCGCGUGAGUGAAGAAGGUUUUCGGAUCGUAAAACUCUGUUGUUAGAGAAGAACAAGGACGUUAGUAACUGAACGUCCCCUGACGGUAUCUAACCAGAAAGCCACGGCUAACUACGUGCCAGCAGCCGCGGUAAUACGUAGGUGGCAAGCGUUGUCCGGAUUUAUUGGGCGUAAAGCGAGCGCAGGCGGUUUCUUAAGUCUGAUGUGAAAGCCCCCGGCUCAACCGGGGAGGGUCAUUGGAAACUGGGAGACUUGUGUGCAGAAGAGGAGAGUGGAAUUCCAUGUGUAGCGGUGAAAUGCGUAGAUAUAUGGAGGAACACCAGUGGCGAAGGCGGCUCUCUGGUCUGUAACUGACGCUGAGGCUCGAAAGCGUGGGGAGCAAACAGG